rnacentral:lncRNA from 1 species
GAUUUUUGGAGUUAUGGUCCCUACGGUUUAGGAAUUAGGGGCCCAAAGGGGCCCAAAACAAGCAUUUAUCUAGUGUCAGUACAAAAAGUUGUGUAUAAGUAUUUCAAUUGUUCUGAAAUUGUACCACAAUGUUAAAUACCAUAAGAAGAAGGUUUGGAUAUAUUUUGUGGGUUAUGGGGCAAACAGUCUAAGAUUAAAGGGCCAUAAAGGGGCCAAAAACAAGCAUUUUUGUAGUUUCAAGACAAUAAAUUGGAGUUAUCUUUCUUUGUCACAGAAUGGUUGUUGAAUCACCUAAAACCAAUGCUAUAUGAAAUCUUCUUUGAAAAUUGGAGUUAUCUUUCUUUGUCCAGAAUAGUAGUUGAAUCAACUUCAAUUAAUGCUAUAUGCAAUAUACAAUGCAAUAUUCACUUUACUACCAACUGAUAAAUUAAAGCAGUCUUUACCAUUCAGUGAUUACAAGCACUUUGAUUACCAUUCUAGGGUUAUGCCCCUUUACAAAUGAAAAAAAUUGAAGAAUUUUUUAGUUUCUGUUCUCUUAACUUAGGUUUGUCUCACCUAAAUUAAUGAAAUGUGUAUAUAAUGCUUAUUACCUCUAAACUCAGUUUAAGUUCAAUUUUUGGCAGCUUCACUUUUACAGUUCUUUAGUUAUGUCCCUUUAUAAUGUUAUAUGCUAGCGGGGGCAUCAUCUGUGUCCCUAUGGACACAUUCCCCAUUUAUUUUUUUAGAAGUUACUAUUAAUUGAUAUUAAUUUUAACCAUGACUGUAUGACAUUUUAUAUUUUGAUAUUUUAUGAUGUAUUUAAAUGAGUAGUUAUUGUUGCAAACUCCAUUAGAAAUUUGAAUUGAGAUCUUUUUUGGAAUAAGGGAAAGGGGAGGUGAAAAAUAAUUGGGGGAGGGGGGUCAAUUUUUUGAGAUGAUUAAUGUUCAACAGCAUAGUGAAUUGCUCAAAAGCAAAAACAAAUGGUUAAGUUCAUUAGACCACAUUCAUUCUGUGUCAGAAACCUUUGCUGUGUCAACUAUUUAAUCACAAUCCAAAUUCAGAGCUGUAUCCAGCUUGAAUGUUGUGUCUAUACUAUCCCAACCGUUCAGGGUUCGACCUCUGCGGUCAUAUAAAGCUGCGCUCUGCGGAGCAUCUGGUUUGUUACAGCAUUUGGAACAUAUAAGCUAUCAUCUGUGAAAUUGAUAUUCCAUAACAGUUGACCAACUCCUGAUUGUGUCUGUAAAAUUUACCAAUGGAUGAUUUCAUUUUGGCCAUGUGAGCUUAUGUCAUCACUUGGCGUGUCAUCCGUCUUCGUAAUUGUAAACUAUUUCACAAGAUUGGUCCAAAUACCUGCAAACUUUAACUGAAUGUUCCUUAGAGUACCUUGUUAAUAAAUUGUAUCCAAAG